rnacentral:rRNA from 1 species
CCUACGGGAGGCAGCAGUGAGGAAUAUUGGUCAAUGGACGAGAGUCUGAACCAGCCAAGUAGCGUGAAGGAUGACUGCCCUAUGGGUUGUAAACUUCUUUUAUAUGGGAAUAAAACGUUCCACGUGUGGGAUUUUGUAUGUACCAUAUGAAUAAGGCUCGACUAACUCCGUGCCAGCAGCCGCGGUAAUACGGAGGAUCCGAGCGUUAUCCGGAUUGAUUGGGUUUAACGGGAGCGUAGAUGGGUUGUUAAGUCAGUUGUGAAAGUUUGCGGCUAAACCGUAAAAUUGCAAUUGAUACUGGCAGCCUUGAGUACAGUUGAGGUAGGCGGAAUUCGUGGUGUAGCGGUGAAAUGCUUAGAUAUCACGAAGAACUCCGAUUGCGAAGGCAGCCUACUAAACUGCCACUGACAUUGAUGCUCGAAAGUGUGGGUAUCAAACAGGAUUAGAUACCCCUGUAGUC